GCCAGCAUUUGGAAGUACAGUACUGUAAUUUUAGAACAAGCAGAAAGCCAGGAGGAGAACUGAGUUGCUGAAUGGUAAUGGAAGGUGGAAAGAAGCUGACUGCGGGCUUUCCCUCCAGGAAAGCAAAACAUAAAAAACCCAACCUUUAUCUGAUUGUUUGUUUUGUUUGUGUGUGAUUUGUUUCCCAUGUGAGAGAAGCAGAAGCCUCACCCCUACUUGAAAAUCUCUCUGUGUGUGUGAGUGAGAGAGAGAGAGAGAGAUGUUUUUAAAAAAUCAUUUUCAAAGUAUAAGUUAAAAUUGACAAACUUGUCAGAAAAACCAGCAGCGAGAAUCAGAAGGCAAGCCAAGAGGCGAGCCAAAUAGACAACCAGGACGGGGAAGCAAGCUGAAAGUCAGAGCCAAAGCCAAGGGUCAAAGCAAACAGUCAACCAAGAAUUGCAGUGAGGACAUCCAAGUCGACUUCCUACCUGGAUCUGGGUGUACCAAAUUGCUUUUGGGUCCUCCUCAACAUCCAAGCAGAUCUUGUGACCACAUCCUGGUCCAAACUACUUUGAGAAAAUUUCCCAUGAUGUAAAGAAUUGCAAUCCAAACAUCUAUUGAAGUAUUCAGAAGACUAAUUUAGUAACAAACAACUGACACAAGUUCAUAUAUGUAGAUUUCCUACAAAAAUACAUUGUGAAGCAGCGUUCUUCAUUGUAGGGCCCGGGAACUAGUGGCGGCCAUAUCAGCCUUGACUGUCACUCUCUGACUAAUUGUUUAUUGGACCUAUGUGCAUCUUUGGCGGAAGCUGAAUAUACUGCAUAGUCCCAUUGGCACCAUGCAGAGAUGAUCUUUCUCUCUGUGUAGUCCAGUGCUUUGCCUAGCACCAGGGGGCUCCUUUAAAGGAAAUGGGGUACUCUUAAGCCCCUGCGUCCUCUUGGAAGGAGUGCAUGGAGUGUAGUCCUUCCCAGCAUUUUCCCCUCAGAGCUCUUAAGAAAGGGCUCCAUCUCUCUUAAAGGGAUGGAACACUGAGAAAAGUACAAUACUGUGCAGGGGUCAGCAGUGGGAAAUGGCUCCCACAUUGAAGGGGUUUGUUGUUGUUGUUGUUUUGCGAAAGUGCCCCCCAUCUAAUAGUAGAAGAUCACUGUUUUCCAUCUAAUAGUGGAAAAUAGUGAAGAUCACUGCUAUAAAGUGUCCUAUACAUUUUCAUCCACCAGUUUGCUGAUUUGGAGGAGUCCGCAGCAUGAGCAGUUGAUAUAGUAUCAAUAAAUAUAUCCUAUUAAGGGAUUCCGUCUGGUUAGCCAAGCAUGGCUGGCAAACUGCUUAUCCAAAUCAGAUCAGAGAUAAACAAGGUGUGAGAUAAACUCAGACAAACCCUAGCUUCUGAUACAUCACCAUGAACAUCACUGCUAAAUAUUGAAGGUUUUCAGAUAGCAAGAGAGACUACAAAUUUUGAGCUUCAGUCUAGAAAUCAUCUUAAUAGGUUUAUGGAUUUUUUUCACAAGACGUUGUAGUAAUGUUGUACAAUUAACCUUGCCAAAUAUCUGGGAAUCUAUGUUUUCUUCUUUUCAGUUCAUACAAAUUUGUAAUUAUAUACAGAAUGUAUAUUAGAUGGCCAAUUUCAAUAGACCAUUAGCUCCAUUUAAGAAUGUAUGCUACCAGAAGACAAUAAGAAAAAGCUUCUUUCAAAA